UGUUGACAAUUAAACUUUACAGACAUGCAAACUAACAGAAAAUGAUGUAUUUUUAAUUUUUUUUCUGAAACAGAGAGUCUGGUAUCCAGAGUUACUACUAUCACUUCUUGUGGAGUGACCCCCCUCCCAUUUAUAUGCUUUUUCUGAGUUCAUGAUUAUUCAGCACUUUGUUGCCCUGCUACUUAUGUGUGUACAUUAGCUCUGUCCUUUAAAACACAAGCCUGGAACUAGCUUCUUCCAACUGCUUCUGCUGCUUAGCAACACAGUGUGAAUGAGCUCCACCUCCUACUAUGGAACAUGAUGGCCUGAAAUAGCAUUUGACAAUUUCUCUCUGGAGACUAAGACACAGAGCAACAGAGACAAACUGCAGGACAAAAUAUGCCAUGUAAACAUGAGAAAGAACGUCCUCAUGGUGAGAGCUGUUCGACAAUGGAAUAUGGUGCCUCAAGAUGCGGUGGAGUCACCUUCUCUGGAGGUUCUUCAACAGAGGUUGGAUGGCUGUGUGUGCUUUGAUUGCGUAUUCCUACCUGGCAGAGAGUUGGACUAGAUGGCCCUUGUGGUCUCUUGCAACUGUUUGAUUGUAACAUCUAAUUCUCUCAUCUUCAAAAGUCUUAGUGCUAAACUAUUUAUAUUGACUGACCCAAUCCUCAGCAAAAUUACUAUUGUGUUUAAAACAUUCCCUUUCUUAGAGAAAGAUGAGCCAUCUAACAGAAUGCUUGUGUAAUGAAAAGCUAUCAUCAUAAAUUAUUCUGAACUACAUUUACAGACUACCACAAUCAUUCAUCAUGGUAAAUUAAGAGAGGAAGCUACUGAAUACACCCUGAUUAGAAGGAAACCAAAUAAAAGAAACUGCACACUAAGAGUUGUAUCAGCCAGUAUUAUUUUUUCCAGCUUUGAUUCACAUGUGAAUGUAAAUGAAUGCUGAAUGGUUACUAUUUUGCAUGAAAUUCCAGAGUUUUACAUUCAAGUCUUGAAAAACUAAACAAUUGGGAGCUAUUAGUGAUUGCUGCCCUCUAGCUCAAAACAGCAGAUGCUUUCACCCAUUUAUAACAAAAUGUAUUGCCACACACUGCCAAGUAGUUCUUGUAUUGUUAAGUCACUAAAAUGAGCGACUGGUUCAUUUCUGGGUGGCCUGGGAAUAACCCUACCAUAGUGAGUCGUUUCUCUGGGUCAUCCAGAAUGUAGUUAUUUGCUUCACACUAGGAAUUAACACACACACUUAUGGCAGCAAGUCUCAAAGGAAAUGGCUGCCCUUGCUUCUUGAUCUUAAAGACUGUAAGUCUCUGCAAAUUUUCCCUGACAAGAAUAUGUAAUGAUUACACAACUGGUCUAAAAAGUAUAGAUUUCCUCCAACAAAAGCUAUAGCUCAACUAUGCAUUAGAUAAUGAAGUUAUUUAUAAUAAAUACCUUGAUUUCAA